UUGCGGCCACAUCACGUUGAAACAUUGGUUCCCUUAUGAUUAUCGAAGAUAAGCAACGUCGAGCCUGGUCAGUACCUAAAUGGGUGCCCACUUGGGAAUACCAGAUGCUGUAG